GAUGAACGCUGGCGGCGUGUCUAAUACAUGCAAGUCGAGCGAACAGAAGAGGAGCUUGCUCCUCAGACGUUAGCGGCCGACGGGUGAGUAACACUUGGCUAACCUACCUAUAAGACUGGGAUAACUUCGGGAAACCGGCGCUAAUACCGGAUAAUAUAUUGAACCGCAUGGUCCAAUAGUCAAACACGGUUUUGCUGACACUUAUAGAUGUAUCCGCGCCGCAUUAGCUAGUUGGUAAGGUAACGGCUUUCCAAGGCGACGAUGCGUAGCCGACCUGUGAGAGUGAUCGGCCACACUGGAACUGAGACACGGUCCAGACUCCUACGGGAGGCAGCAGUAGGGAAUCUUCCGCAAUGGGCGAAAGCCUGACGGAGCAACGCCGCGUGAGUGAUGAAGGUCUUCGGAGCGUAAAACUCUGUUAUUAGGGAAGAACAAAUGUGUAAGUAACUAUGCACGUCUUGACGGUACCUAAUCAGAAAGCCACGGCUAACUACGUG
rnacentral:rRNA from 1 species